ensembl:processed_transcript
AACGUAGAUAGUGUCCUUGGGUCCAUUGAGAGUGAAGCUGUAAAAAUGAACCUGUGUCCAUGAUCUCCAGCGCAUGAAGGAUCCAGUGUGCUUUCUGGCCUCAUUAAUGCUGCAUCAUCUGUAGUCCACUCGCACGCAGCCCAUGGGACUCCAGUGGACGCCUUUAAACACAGACGCUGGAGCAAGAAGAAAGACAUGUCUGUGGCUUCACACAUCAUCUGACUGAUCUUGAUCUGAAUCUGGUUGGGUCCUGCAUAAAUUAAGCUCUACCAGAUGGCAAAAUCUCCUUCAGAGGAGGA